rnacentral:lncRNA from 1 species
UGCCAAUGUAGAGACUAAAAUGGACAGAGCAGGAAUCCCUCUCCUCUCCAGGACAUUUGCUGGAGUCUCCAGUGAAAACGCAGUAAACAGCAGGCAGGGUCCGUGGCGCUUGCAGUUCGACCUCAACCUGCAGCCACGGAGAGCUGUGGGGAGAGCGGAGCUGAGGCCCCGGCAGCUCCCGGUCCCGCACCGGGCUCUGCUGGCGGCUGCCGAGUUCCUGAGACUCCUGCCCCCGCCCGUGUGGCGGCGCCUCACUCCGCACCUGCGGCAGCCCCUGCCCACGCCGCCUCCACCCGCCCCGCCGCGGCCCGACUUCGCUAAAGUUAGGGUCCUGAGCUCCAGCACCCACAGCCGCCCGCGCAGAGCCCCGCGCCGCCACCUCGGGUCCCGGACCCUUCGCCGCCGCCCUCGCUCCCGGGAUGGGAAAAUUUGGCGCCGGUGAGCGCGUUCCUCGGCGGCGCGGCGCGGCGCUCUGGGUCCUCCGUGUCAGGGCGUCUGCGGAAGCGGCUCCGGUGGCUCCUCUGCUCCUCGUGGCACGCGGCCCAGACCCCCAGAGUACUGUCCGUGCCGGCACUGCGAGACCGGGCUCCUGCUGCUCCUCUCUCCUCCUGGGGUGCCACCAGCGCCCAACGAUGGGAGAGGUGAGCAGGAGCCUGCGGGAGCGCAAAGUCCCUGAAGACUGGGGGCGACGGCAGCAUGGAACUCCGCGGCAAGAUGAAGAUCCCUGGCUUCCGGAUGGAGGAGCUGCGGCUCACUAGCAGCCUGUCCGCGGAGACGAGGAACCCCACCCACAAAGAUGGUUCCUGGGUGCGACCAGGCAGCGUUGCGAGUAGCAGAGUGGUGAUGGGGUGGGGUCGGGGAGCGAAGCGGGGAGGGAGUGUGAAAGUGGGCUUGGAGGGUCAAGGGCAGAAGGUGAUUUGAGGCUUCUGACUUGAAGUGUGCAAAAUAAAGGCUAUGCUUGCCUUCGCCAGGAAGUAUUUCAUCUCCAAGAUGGGCCUCAGUCCUCCUGGAACUCCCAUCUUCAUCUCUAAGCUCCAAACCUGGAAAAAAACAGCUUUCAAGUAAGAAUGUAAAUCCCUGGUUUCUGUCAAUAUGGCUUGUGAAGCUGAAGACCAGGCAGAGUAGGGUGUUAAAUAAGUGCAUAGUAUGCGGUGGUGAAAGGGUUAACGUUGUAGGGCAGGCUGACAUUGCCCUCAAGGAUUCCCACUUCACUUGCUGUAAGCUUACUCUGGGGGCUCCUGUCUGUGAUGACAAAUGUCUAGGUUAAUUUAAAGGGGACAAAAUCUCAGUGGACAAUCACUGCCUUCUAGUGUGGUCCCUGUCUCUGGCACUGAGGAGAUGGAAGUUACAUGGAGAGCAGGCACCAUCUUUCUGAGAGAGAAAGUGAUUAAAGCUGGGGCUUUACAGCUUGUGAAUUGAUUGUUCUCCAAUGUGAUUUAGUCCUGGAAACAUCAAUAUCCAAGGGACUACAACUCCCUGUUCACUCUUCAUUGCCUGACCACCUCUAGUGA